GCUGGGCAUGGUGGCGCAUGCCUGUAAUCCCAGCUACUCGAGAGGCUGAGGUAGGAGAAUCACUUGAACCCAGAAGGCAGAGGCUGCGGUGAGCUGAGAUCAGACCACUGCACUCCAGCCUGGGUGACAGAGUGAGACCCUGUCUCAA
ensembl:misc_RNA Metazoa_SRP Metazoan signal recognition particle RNA